UACGAAGGGGGCUAGCGUUGCUCGGAAUUACUGGGCGUAAAGGGCGCGUAGGCGGAUAUCUAAGUUGGGGGUGAAAUCCCGGGGCUCAACCUCGGAAUUGCCUUCAAAACUGGGUAUCUUGAGUUCGGGAGAGGUGAGUGGAACUCCGAGUGUAGAGGUGAAAAUUCGUAGAUAUUCGGAAGAACACCAGUGGCGAAGGCGACUCACUGGCCCGAUACUGACGCUGAGGCGCGAAAGCGUGGGGAGCGAUCCGG
rnacentral:rRNA from 1 species